rnacentral:misc_RNA from 1 species
UUUCCGUAGGUGAACCUGCGGAAGGAUCAUUGCCAGCGCCUUCAAACGGGUGACCAGAGAACAUGUCGAACAUCAUGGGGUGCUAGAGCCGACACACGAUCGUAUGACAUGCGUCGGUGAGCAAUCCCACGCACCUCAGGUGUGUGAUGAACAUAAUCGGCACGGAACGUGCUAAGGAAUGCUGCUUAAAGUUACCUUCUCAUAACUCAUGUUCAUAACAUGUUAGUGGCGACGGGUUACCAACGGUUAGACACCUAAAUGACUCUCGACAACGGAUAUCUAGGCUCUUGCAUCGAUGAAGAACGCAGCGAAAUGCGAUACGUGGUGUGAAUUGCAGAAUCCCGUGAACCAUUGAAUUUUUGAACGCAAGUUGCGCCCAAUGCCACUUUCUUGGUUGAGGGCAUGCCUGCCUGCGCGUCAUGCACGAAACUCCACCCCCUAACAUCCUCCCCCAACAAACAGGGGGUUCAGCUGACGGAUAUAUCGGUAUGGGGUGGGUUAUGGCCUCCCGUUCUUCAUUGCACGGUUGGUUGAAAUUCGGAGCCCUAGGUGACAUGCGCCGCAGUGAGUCACGGCUAGUGAUAUAUAGGCUUUAUGUCAUCCACGGAGCAGACUCUGUUGACCCCAUUAGAAAAUCCCAUCCCGGUAAUGAACAUCGAGGGAUGGAAGGGAAAAUCGUGCAGACCUC